rnacentral:rRNA from 1 species
UACAGAGGUGGCAAGCGUUGUUCGGAAUUACUGGGCGUAAAGCGCACGUAGGCGGAUUUGUAAGUCAGGGGUGAAAUCCCGGGGCUCAACCUCGGAACUGCCUUUGAUACUGCAAAUCUCGAGUCCGGAAGAGGUGAGUGGAAUUCCUAGUGUAGAGGUGAAAUUCGUAGAUAUUAGGAAGAACACCAGUGGCGAAGGCGGCUCACUGGUCCGGUACUGACGCUGAGGUGCGAAAGCGUGGGGAGCAAACAGG